GAUGUAGACCCUGAAUUUGGACACAGCUACCAUUGAGAGAGUGAGACGAUUAGUGAGAGUAGUAGCUAGUGAAAUAGAUAGAUAGAUAUCAUAGCAUAGCAUAGCAUAAAUAGAUAGUGAGAGAUAGCAUAGCAUAACAGAUAGCUUAGAGAAAGAGUAGAUAAUAAAUAGACAACAUGGUUUAUUACUGUGUUUGUGGCGGGUGCAAGAACUCCAGCAAAACUGGACAUAGGGUCCAUUGUUUCUCCAAGGACAAAGGGAUCUUCCGAAGCUGGGUGCAAUUUGUCAAGAUUAGGCAGGCAGAUUUUUCAGCUAGCUCUGUCACCGCCUACUCGAGAAUAUGCAGCGCGCAUUUCAAGGAGGAGGAUUACCACUCAAGGGAUGCCAAGAUGGUCGCACUUUCUUUAAAAAGUAUGAGGAUGGCUAAGUUAAUUCCUACCGCCGUGCCGUCUGUGAAUGCAAACCUCUCUGCUUGUCCUGUCCCGAGGUCGAGAGACACCGUCUGCCGCAAGCGAUAUAUUGCCACGAUGAUGAAAGAAACCUCACAGCAGGAGACCGUGCACAGUGUAGAUACUGGGGAUCAGCCCUUGCCCUCCUCCACUUCUGACGCUGUGACACAGUGUUAUUUGAAGCCCCUCCCCCCGAUGGUCUCGCGCUGUGCAGGUUAACCUGAAGCCCAAGAUGGUCAGCGUGGGCACACAGAUGUCUUUCAGCCCACAAACCUCCACUCCCAUCGCUAGUCCUGAACAGACAGAUGAUGAAGAUGAUGAUAAUGCCUCUGUCGUUAGUGACUUAUCGUGGGUGCCCGAAGAGCCGAUGCAUGAGGAGGACUUGUUUGAUGAGGAGCCACCUUACGCGUGUGUGACCCCCACCACAAUGGCAUUGACAAAUUCAUUGUUUGCCAAGAGGAGCUGAUGGGCCUUUUUGCCAUCUGUCCGGCCUGUUGUGAGAGGUCAGAUAGUAGCAUCGUGCAGCAGGAAGGAACUUUUGUUAAGAUCAAGCAGGUCUGUGCAUCAUGUGGCUACCACCGUUUCUGGCAAAACCAAACCAACCAAUGCUCCACAGGAACAUGCCGACCUGCAACCUCCUGUUAAGUGGGGCCAUUCAGUUCACUGGAUGUUUGGCCACCCAGACAUUAAGAAUGUUGACUCUGUUUGGCCUGCAGUGCAUCAGUGCGAGCAUUUUCUUUAAUGCCAAGUUUAACACAUUUCACUGUAGCUUCCACUACUGUUUGUCCCUUCAUCAGUAGUUUUCUCCCUACUCAAAUCCAUGAUAGCGUCUUCAUUGUACACAGUCAUUUGAACCAUUUGAUGUGUAACACUAGACUUCACCAGUCUCUGUACUGAGCUGGAUAUCAACUAAAAAAUACAUGGUAGACAUAAUAACAGCAAAAAUCAUUUAGCAGCAUUAUGUGUACGUUCAGGCUCUUUUACGGCCAUUCUCACUGUAGUCUGGAGUAUGAAAACAACAUGAUGUACCCAACUAUGAUGCUCAUAUUUAUCUUUUCACUUGCGCACAGACUACUUCGGUGCUGUUUUUCAGUCUUAACCUUGCUCUUCCCGCUGAUAAGGACGCUUGAUGUUUAGGCUGGAUUCUGGCCUUAUUGACGUGUGUGUCUCCAGAUCUUUUCUGUUGGACCUCCCUGCAGUGGCUGGCCUGGAUCCACGUUUCUCUCUCUGCUACCUUCACAGCCAUGUGAGUGGUCAGAAGCACCUGGAACGGUCCCAGCCACCUUUUCGCCUUCCAGCUCUUUCUCCUCAGAUCUCGUACCACCACGAAAUCUCCUGGUUUCAGUUCGUGCAGCGGUGUUUCAGCAACCUUCCCCUGAGCAGCUUUCACCUGAACACAGACAUGAGACAAUAAAGAAGACAUUUCCUUGCAAUAACUCAACGUGUCAUGCUCACACACCUGUAGAUGGUAGCUGUUGUUUAACCCCCUUCAAUACUCACAAAUGGUGGGUUGCCAAAGAGAAUUUCAAAAGGGCUCAGGUUUACUCUGGAUCUAUUUCUCAUUCUCAUGUACAUGAGAAUGAUUGGGAGCACCUUAACCCAUGUGAGUCCAGUUUUCUUACAACACUUAACCAAUUAGAUUUUUAUUGCCCCUACACAAAAUGUGUUUCAAUGCCCGAACUGCUUUUUCGUGGAAUUUCCCCAUCUCGGGACUAUUUCAGUCAGCAGAGCCCUUACUACUGCUGCUGCAUCCUGUUUGGACAUUGGGCAGACCACUACCCAUUUGGACCACAUGUCCACAAAUACCAAACCAUGUUUCCCUCCCUUCACAUGGGAACAGUUCAAUGAAAUCCAUCGGGGCUUGCUGGAAUACCUGAGACAU